UACGUAGGGUGCGAGCGUUAUUCGGAAUUACUGGGCGUAAAGGGCGCGCAGGCGGCUCCGCAUGUCGGGCGUGAAAUCCCCGGGCUUAACCUGGGAAUUGCGUCCGAAACUAUGGAGCUGGAGUGUGGCAGAGGGAGGUGGAAUUCCACGUGUAGCGGUGAAAUGCGUAGAGAUGUGGAGGAACACCGAUGGCGAAGGCAGCCUCCUGGGCCAACACUGACGCUCAUGCACGAAAGUGUGGGGAGCAAACAGG
rnacentral:rRNA from 1 species